UCCUACGGGAGGCAGCAGUGGGGAAUAUUGCACAAUGGGCGCAAGCCUGAUGCAGCGACGCCGCGUGAGGGAUGACGGCCUUCGGGUUGUAAACCUCUUUCAGUAGGGAACAAGGCUGCACGUUGUGUGGUUGAGGGUACUUGCAGAAGAAGCGCCGGCUAACUACGUGCCAGCAGCCGCGGUAAUACGUAGGGCGCAAGCGUUAUCCGGAAUUAUUGGGCGUAAAGAGCUCGUAGGCGGUUUGUCGCGUCUGCCGUGAAAGUCCGGGGCUCAACCCCGGAUCUGCGGUGGGUACGGGCAGACUAGAGUGAUGUAGGGGAGACUGGAAUUCCUGGUGUAGCGGUGAAAUGCGCAGAUAUCAGGAGGAACACCGAUGGCGAAGGCAGGUCUCUGGGCAUUAACUGACGCUGAGGAGCGAAAGCAUGGGGAGCGAACAGGAUUAGAUACCCUGGUAGUCCAUGCCGUAAACGUUGGGCACUAGGUGUGGGGGACAUUCCACGUUUUCCGCGCCGUAGCUAACGCAUUAAGUGCCCCGCCUGGGGAGUACGGCCGCAAGGCUAAAACUCAAAUGAAUUGACGGA
rnacentral:rRNA from 1 species